UACGUAGGGCGCGAGCGUUGUCCGGAAUUAUUGGGCGUAAAGAGCUCGUAGGCGGUUUGUCGCGUCUGCUGUGAAAACUCGAGGCUCAACCUCGAGCUGUCGGUGGAAACUGUCUGGCUAGAGUCCGGAAGAGGAGAGUGGAAUUCCUGGUGUAGCGGUGAAAUGCGCAGAUAUCAGGAAGAACACCUAUGGCGAAGGCAGCUCUCUGGGACGGUACUGACGCUGAGACGCGAAAGCGUGGGGAGCGAACAGG
rnacentral:rRNA from 1 species